rnacentral:rRNA from 1 species
UACGUAGGGGGCAAGCGUUGUCCGGAUUUACUGGGCGUAAAGAGCGUGUAGGCGGCCAAGCAGGUCCGUUGUGAAAACUGGAGGCUUAACCUCCAGACGUCGACGGAAACCGCGUGGCUAGAGUCCGGAAGAGGAGAGUGGAAUUCCUGGUGUAGCGGUGAAAUGCGCAGAUAUCAGGAAGAACACCAAUGGCGAAGGCAGCUCUCUGGGACGGUACUGACGCUGAGACGCGAAAGCGUGGGGAGCGAACAGGG